UUAAAAGUAUAAGUAUGUCCCAACAAAUAUUUGGGACAUAUUUAUACUAAAC
rnacentral:pre_miRNA from 1 species